rnacentral:rRNA from 1 species
AUUGAACGCUGGCGGCAGGCCUAACACAUGCAAGUCGAGCGGAUGAAGGGAUCUUGUUCUUGGUUUCAGCGGCGGACGGGUGAGUGAUGCCUAAGAAUCUGCUUGGUUGUGGGGUAUUUCGUCCGGAAACGGGCUCUAAUUCCGCAUUCCUCCUUAGGCUGAAACUUUUGGAUCUUCGGACUUCUCGCUAUCAGAUGAGCCUAGGUCGGAUUAGCUAGUUGGUGGGGUAAAGGCCUACCAAGGCGACGAUCCGUAACUGCCGAGGGUGGAUGAUCAGACAGACUGGAGAGGAGGAACAGUCCAGACUCAUACGGGAGGCAGCAGAGGGGAAUAUUGGACAAUGGGGGAAGGAAUAAUGCAGCAAUGACGCGUGUGUGAAGAAGGUAUUCGGAUUGUAAAGCACUUUAAGUUGGGAGGAAGGGCAGUAAGUUAGUACAUUGCUGUUUUGACGGUACCAAGAGAAUAAGCACCGGCUAACUUCGUG